rnacentral:lncRNA from 1 species
CCAUCGCUACUAUCUUCAUCUGCCGGUAAGCAAAGUCCUUCCCUAGACAGAUUUGCGGACCUGCCUGCAAAUAGCACAAAUGAAAGUGAAACUACUAUUGGUGAACAUUUGGAUAAUUAGCAUAUAUAUAUUUGUGAUUAAGGAAAAAGAAAAUAUUUUUACUAACGUGAAAUGUGACGAAUUUGAAAAUAUUUCUACUAACGUGAAAUGCGACUAAUUUGAAGGGUGAUUCGGGCUUGAAAAUUCCAUUUUCAAGCCAUCUUUCAGGUUGGAAAUCAUCAGCAUCUUUUCCCCAGAUAUAAGGCAUUCUUCCCAUGGCAUAGGUGAUGUAGUUUACGUUGUCUCCUUUUCUCACUCUAAAGCCAUCUGGAAGAAUGUCAUCUGCAUCUGCACAUCUCCCAUCAUUACAGAAAACCAAGACAUAAAGAUGUCAAUAUUUACAGUAAUAUGAAGAAUUCUUCCAACUUAAAGAGUUGAAGUUCACUACCUAUUUCUCCCUUAGUAAUAGACAAGGUUAAAUUUCCUUAAGAGACUUGGUUCCUUAUGUGCCAAGGACUCGUUCAUCUAUGCAGACUAAAUAUAGUUACACACGUGUGCACAAACUACUUAUGCACAUGUGCCAGUAUGUGUUUUGCAAAGUAAGCAGCAAUAACUCCUUAAGACAAACAGUGUUCUAAGUUUCCUUGUGGAAUAAUGACUUUCUUGUAUUGGUUUUGAUAUAUUUAACAGACUUUAAUCAAGGUUUUGGCACUGUCCUGUUUAGAAACUCACAAACUACCAUAUAAAGUAAAGAAAAUAACAAGUAUCUUAUUAAAAAAAUAUGACGAGGAAAAUUAAAAUCAGAUUAUUCGAGUAUAUACAUACUAUUGGAACUGCAGGGUAGAUCCUUAAGGUCUCUGUCAGCGCCGCGUUAAGAUAGUGCAUUCGUUCUAAAGUUUCUUCAGUUAUGUUUUCCACGAAUUCAUCAACUUUCGCUUCACCUACCUGAUUACCAACGACGUCCCUCACUUCUUGUACAACUUUUUCUUGUAUUAGAGGGUUCUUGCUGAGCAUGUAGAACAACCAUGACAGUGUAGUUGCACUGGUGUCUUUGCCAGCAAACAUAAAAGUCAGUAUUAUAUCCCUCAUAUGUUUGUCAUUCAUUUCCUCUGGAUUCUUCACAUUCUCCAGUAGAAACCUUGACAGUAUGUCCUCCUUUUCAAUCUUCGAAACAAUUCAGAACUUUAUAGCAAACUAAAACCUUAAAUUUACCAUUAAUGUAGGGAAGUGAUUUCUGCACACCUUGUUUCUCCUUCUGGACACCCUUGUUUAUUUUUCCCUUUAAUUCUCUUUUGAUUUCUACAAUCCGAAGGUCAGAAAUAAACUGUGGGGCGUAGGAGGGGAAAAAUGAUGUGUGCAAAACAAUACCCUUGCUGUAAGUUUUCCUCACCCGAAUAACUGAUGGUGUGUAAAAAACAAAUAGAAUUAUAUGGUAGAGACACAUUCUGUAAAGCCAAUGUAGUAAUGUAAAAUUUAUUUACAACAUCUUUUUGCUCCUCUUGCAAUCUCCUCUUGCUGCUGAUAACUUGGUGCACAAAAUCGUCUACAACUUUGAACCAAGGUUGAAGAUUCUUUUUAGUUUCCAGAAUGGAUCAAUGUAGCGAAAAUAGGUCAGUGCAGUAGAUUCAUCAAAGGCCUUCAUGAAUGCAGUCCCUUCUUUGCCUGACCCCUCCAGGCAAUGCAGUUCUAUUCCAAACCCGACUUUGAAUAUGGAAUCCAAGGUACAUCUCAUAAGCAAAUCCUACAAAUAGAAUCAAAUGCAAAAUGUUAUGUUUGAUCCGAAGAGUUUAUUGAGUGUGACUCCUACAUCAGAGAAUUAAGAGACCUUGGCGUGUGCUUAUAAGGAUUGGAUUGGAUAACUCAAUAGAUUCGAAUUAUGUUGAAGUUAGAAAAUAGAUUACUCAUGAAAGAAAUUAACCCACCCGUGCAAUCCCUACCCAUAAAAUGGUACGAUUUUAACGUUGUAUUUAACUUAUACCUUCAAAUCCCACGACAUGAAAACUCUUCCAGCUCUCCCAUUUCUUACUACAAGUCUACAAUACAUCAGUCUUAUAAGUUAUCCAAUCCAAUGCAAUCUUAGGCUCCAAACGAGCUGUAAUUUCACAGAUCAUAUUUUUCCUCCCAGCGUGCUUUAUUCUCAUAUCAGUACCAAAAAAUCAGUCAGAUCAAAUUGACUUUAAUUAGGACACCCCCAACUUUCCAAGCUUAAUUAGCUAAGCCCUCUAAAUAAAUUUUCAUAAAACCAGUUUGAUUAAAAAAUACCAAACAAGAAAAGAAAAGUUCAACAAAUCUUUUAGGUCUCAUAUUACACACCUGCAUAUCAAAAACCCCUCCGGAACUCGAAAUUCCAAAAAUAACUCUAACCAGUUUGGCAACACUUCUUCUAAACACAGAGCAGCUAGCAUCUCUAAGCACCCUUGUUGAGAACUCGAAGCUCGCAAGCUUCCUCUGCUGCUUCCAUUUUUCUCCAUCAACAACAAAUAUCCCUUGGCCAAAAAUAUCCGACAAAAUACUUUGAGUGAAGGCGCCUUUCGAGUAGCUGGCAAAGUUGGUUUUCAGAACAUGCUCAAUGUUGCGCGUGUCAGCCGUGUACACUUCGCUGCGGUCCAGGACUAGAAGCUGGAAAGUUGAGUGUGUUUUGGCAACAACAGUUUGGUAGUUGUAGACGCUGUUGAAGUAUAAGAACAUGUGGAAGACAGUGCCUUUUACGGGAGGGUAAUUCGGGUCUCGGAUAGACUUUCCGGUGAAGAUUUUGAGUAUGAACAAAGACACAGUUAGGAAGAGAAACAUAAGUAUGGAGGUGAAGAUGAUAGGGAAAAACCCCAUCUCAAAUUUGUUUGUGAUAACAAAGAGGCAAGGAAAGAAAUAUGUAGAGAGAGAGAGAGGGAGUAUGCAACUGAAAUGAAGAGGAGAGUAUGCACGUUGACAAAUAUAAUAUGAAUUUAAGGAAAACUAAUGAAAAGAGUUUCAAAACUUUGGAUUUUAACAAAAAAACCAUCUACAAACUUUAUUUAAUGGUAAGGACAACAAAAAGAAAAAAAAAAGGAAAAAAAAAAAACUACUAAAGGAAGUGCGUGCAUAUAUGUGAAUAUGAUCAAUUCCUAACCAAAUCCUCCUCUGAUUUUAAUCUCACUCACUCUUGACCAAUCCCUAAUUAUUGAUAUAGUCUUAUUGAUUUGUGUAAAUUUCAAUUGCCUACAGAAUUGCCUCAUGCAUGUGAAGAGGAUGAGGGUCGAGUUGUAAUGGAGUUAUUUGCUGAUAAAAAAACCCGAAAAAUGCUUAAAAUUUUCAUGCUCUUUGUACUGAAGAUAAGGGGAUUGGAUUAUCAGGGAGCCGCUGCACUUUAAGGGCUCCACAUUUCAUCGCAUUAUUCCUAUAUAAUUUCAUGUAUCAGGGUGGAGAUUUCUCAAGAGGCAAUGGGACUGGAGGAGAGUCAAUGUAUGGGGCGAAAUUCGCAGAUGAGAGCUUCAACUUGAAGCAUAUAGGCCCUGGAAUAUAGUCCAUGGCAAAUUCUAGACCUAAUACUAAUGGUUCAUAGUUUUUCAUUUGCACUGCAAUGACCCCGGAAAGCACGUUGUGUUCGAAACAAUUGUUGAUGGAUACAGUGUUGUUGAGAAAAUGAAGGUGGGUUCGAAGAGUGGGACUAAGUUUUCAUAAACAGUGUAGUAAGUUUCAUAAACAGUGUCGUAAGUUUCAUAAAUAGUGUACCGUGAGUUCGCGAGUCAGACUUUUUGUCAUUUUUAUUAAAAUUAUGUUUUUUUCAUUAAAAUUUAAGUUCUUUUGUCCUUUUUUUAUUAAAAUUUAAGGGUUUUUCAUUAAAAUUUAAGUCUUUUUAAUUAAAUAAAGUUAUAGCAUAGCUUUUUAUUAAAAUAAACUUAGUUCAAGCCCUCUUCAUGAAAGAUCCCAUAAAUUUACUUUUUAUUUUUCUAGGUUUUUGGGCUAAGGUUGGAAGCGUGAAAGUGAAAUAAAGAGAAGAGAAAGGAUACAAGUUGACAUAUAUAAUAUGUUGAUGCACAAAAUCAACGAAGACUUUGGUACAACAGAAAGUGUCAGGUUUUGUGACCUUCGCUUGGUUGCUUCGGUCACUAGUGAGGAUAAGUACGUAAAUGAAUAGAGACAGAGAAGCAAACACAGGAUGUACGUGGUUCACCCAGAUUGGCUACGUCCACGGAGUAGAGGAGUUCUUAUUAGUAGUGAAGGGCUUACACAAGUACAAAGGAUCAAGCUCUCAAUUUAGUGAGUUCUUGUGAAUGAUUUAACACAAAUGGCAUUAGCCAAUAUUGUGGGGGAAUGACCCCUAUUUAUAGAAAAACUUGUAGCUUUGUCACAUUGACAUGUGUCAUGUUAUGAUUGGUUCUUGAUGUCGACACGUGCUGCGCUCUGAUUGAUUGGCUUCUAAUCUUGACACGUGUCGAGUAGUGAUUGGCCUCCUGGUCGGAGGGGAACUCUUCUGGGUCCUUGACAGUAUAGCGUUGGCCGGUGUUCGGUAGUUUCGGGAUUGGUCAAGUAUGGUAUAAACAGUGCUCCCCUAAGUUCCCGAGUGAGGGAAACUCCUCGGUUGGGGACUUGCAAGAUCCAAUCCCUUGAGUAAUCACGAAACUUCUAAGUACUGAAGUGUGGUCUGAUCUUCAUCUGCCCUUCUCUGGAAGUACCUUUCCUCCAUCCGGGAAUGGUGUAUUUAGCUGAUGAAGAUGCACAAGGUAAUGUAUCAAUUUCACUUUGAAGCUUACUUGUAGUUUCGGGCUUGGUCAAGUGCGAUACAAACCCUAUAGUAGGAGUCCCCCAAGUCGCCGAGCUAGGAGAUCUGCCGAAAGAGGUGACAGACAAGGUAAGCAGUCAAACUUCCAAGUAAGCAACCCAGGAUCAGAGGUUUGACUUCGGCUUCCGGUUGAUUGUUCUCCUUCUCCUUGUCUCUCAUUCAACUGCCAGGAUAAGGAGAAGCAAAUGGAUAAGAGAUGAUAUAAGAUACUUUUGCUUUUGAAGAAGUAACUUUCCACAGGCUUAUUCUUGAACUGUGCUGGAGGGUUUUCUGGUGCCCUUCAGAGUAUAAGGCCGACUCAAAAAUUUGAGGGUCAAAACAAGUCCAUCAAAUCUAGAGUACGUUCGACCUUGAUGAUAUGGGAUACUUUUGCUGUUGACGGAAUAAUGAAUGUGGUAUGGAAAGGUGUCGUGCUGUAGUGAUCUGUUUCAGCUCACCGUUGAACCUUCUGCUUCAAUCUUUUGCAUGGCAGAAGUGGUGUGCAACCUUUGCAUUUAAAUGGUCCUUCAGAACAUUCCUUCAUAGUGACUCAUCCACGCUUGGCAGCUUCAGUGUAAAAGAGCCAAUAUCUGAUCAACUGUCAUGAGGUAUUUGCCGGUGGAAUUCGUGACCUUGACAGCAGUUGAGGAUGAGUACUCGAGAGCAAUGCUAAGUAAGCAACCAGGCAAAGGCUCCAGGCAGUCAGUUCCAAAUUGGAGGUUUGAUUUCAGGUUCCGACUGACUGCUCUCUUUCUCCUUGUCCUGCAGGUGUGGACAAGGACAAAGACAAAGACAGGGAGAAAGCAUGAUAUGGGAUACUCUUGCUUUCGACCCUGAUGAUAUGAGAUACUCUUGUUCUUGGUGUGGCUUAUUUGCUGAGGUAUUAUCGGGGGGAAAUAAAGCUGAGUAUUUCGAGAGGUUAUGUUGAGGGUGCCUUUUCGAAUGCGAGAAAGGGUUGAGCAUUUUUGCAGGUUUGCCUGUCCGUUGAGGAGAGGAGGUCAAUGUAUAUAGGGAUUUCCCAAUAACAAGUAGUAAUGUUAUUCCUUUACCCUUCUUGGUCACAGCAAUGUAGUGGGAGCUGCCAGCUUCACGUGUUUUUAAUUUUGUCAGAGCACUUUGAAAAAGUGGUAUGUGGUAUCUGGAAAGCUGAUAUUACGUGUGAAGAUUACAGACAAGCUUUAUCUAAGGAAAUCUGGCUCUCGAAGUUCUGAGAGUUGUGCCUCUUCGGUUUUUGAACAAGCAAUCCCGUCGAGGAUCUGACUCUCGAGAUUCGGAAAGCGGUGCUACUCCGGUUUUUGAGAAAGUAAUUAUGUUGGGAGUCUUUUCUCGAAUGUGAGUAAAGGUUGGAGGUUCUUGCCAACCUGUCUUGCCGCAAAACACGGAGGUCGACACACAUAGGGACUUUCCAGUUGUCAAGCAGUGGUGCUGUUCCUUUACCCUUAUGGGUAAUAGUAGGGUAGCUGGAACUUCGAAAUUCUCGUGCCUAAACUUUGUCAGAGAUCUUUGACAAAGUUAUAUGUGGUACCCGAGGAGUUGAUGGUGCAUAUGGAGAGCGGUGAUUGAACAGUAAGAUUCACGUGCUUUCUACUUCACCAGAAAUCUUCGACAGAUUGCCCGUAAUUUCCGCAAAGCUGAGUGUGCAUGUGACAGGUGCUGACGAGGCUGAAAAAGCAGGUGCUUCUUCUCGAUUUCUGAGAUCGGCCCUCGUGGUCUCUGAGCAGCCCAGCUUUUGAGAAAGCAAACGCCUCUUCGAUUUCUGAGAUCGGCCCUCGUGGUCUCUGAGCAGCCCAGCUUUUGAGAAAGCAAACGCCUCUUCGAUUUCUGAAGCUCCGUCGAGUGCAGAUUUUUAUAGAGGCUGGCAUUAAGUUCCACAGCACACUUGAAUCUCUACCAGUAGAAAACUCAUUUCUUGCACUUCUAAGAUCUUGAUUUGUCUGACCUCUUCUUCUUCUUCAACACAUUUGAAAAUGUCUGGACCCUCCGACCGUCGUUUUGACUUGAACCUUGGAGAAGAGACAGCCACGCCUUCUCCAGACAACAACAUAUGGCGCCCAUCCUUCAUAUCCCCUACUGGUCCUCUUACCGUUGGGGAUUCUGUGAUGAAGAAUGAUAUGACCGCUGCAGUGGUGGCCAGGAACCUUCUCACUCCCCAAAGAUAACAGACUACUUUCCAAACGGUCUGAUGAGUUGGCUGUUAAGGACUCUCUGGCUCUUAGUGUUCAGUGUGCAGGUUCUGUGUGUCUAAUAUGGCCCAACGCCUAUUUGCUAGAACCCGCCAAGUUGAAUCAUUGGCUGCUGAAGUGAUGAGUCUCAAACAGGAGAUUAGAGGGCUCAAGCAGCAUGAGAAUAAGCAGUUGCACCGGCUCGCCCAUGACUAUGCUACAAACAUGAAGAGGAAGCUUGACCAGAUGAAGGAAUCUGAUGGUAAGGUUUUACUUGAUCAUCAGCGGUUUGUGGGUUUGUUUCAAAGGCAUUUAUUGCCUUCGUCCUCUAGGGUUGUACCUGGUAAUGAAGCUUCAAAUGAUGAACCUCCAAUGCCUCCUCCUUCUGGGGUUUUGUCAAGUACUGAGGCUCAGGAUAACCACCCUCCGGUGCUUUCUCUUUCUGGGGCUCUACCGACUGCUGAGACUUCCCCUAAGCAACCUUUGUGAAGGCUCCCUUUUGUUUGUUUAUUUUGACUCAUGUAUAUGUACAUAUUUGUGGCUUAUCGAAAAUAUUAAUAAAUAAGCUUUGCUUCAUUUCAACAUAUUGUGUUAAAUACACCAAAGCCUUCUUCAUAAAGUUCUUUGAAUUUUUGCUUUUGUUGAAACCUGUAUUGUUGAAGCUUUUGUGAGUGAAGCAUGUAGAGUUUGAGGGGUAGUGUUCCCUUAAUUUCCCGAGUGAGGAAAACUUCUCGGUUGGAGACUUGAAAAAUCCAAGUCACUGAGUGGUUGUAAGACUGCCGAGUAUCAAGGUGCAGUAGCAUAUGGUGGGAGUCCCCCAAGUCUUCAGGCGAAGAGAGUUGCCGAAUGAGGUGUCUAGCUAGUAGUCAAUGUCAUGAGUAGGAAAACUUCACUUGUUUCUUUUCGAAGUGGUAACCCAGGGCUCUUUCUUCAUAUAUUGUUUUUUUGUUAUGAAGAUGUGUUAGGCCCAAAGAAGUGGAGGCCUAGGCCCUUUUUUUUUUUUUUUUUUUUUUUUUUUUACUCCCUCCCUUUUUCUUUGGAAUGUUUGUACAGAUAUCUAUAAUGUGGCCUUUGUCAUGAUUUUGGAGGAUGGUUGUAGUCGAAUCCAAUGAGGGGUAGGGUAUGACUCAUUAUCAUGUGCCAUGAUUUUGUCUUCCUUUAGCUUUUCUUUUGCUUUGCUUUACCAUUUUUGCUUUCCUUUAGUCUGCCUUUAGCUUUUCUUCAAUAUAUAACACCAUUUUCUGUGGCUCAGAUCGCAAAAACCAUCUUCAUGAAAGUUGUUCCUUAGCUCGUGAACUACAACAUAUCCGAAUUGGAGAUCCAUCGGAGCAGUACAACUCCAGAAAUUCAGGUAGUAUGAUGAGUGAUUGUUCGUCAUUUGUAUAUCAACGCGUCAGACUUGUUGUGAGCUUCAAAAACUCCAUUUUUUCUCUUGCUCAGAUCAACAUACUUUCUUCAUCGAAGUUGUUCCUUAACUUGUGAACUACAACAUAUCCAAAAUUGAGAUCCCUCGGAGCUGUAUAACUCAAGAAAUUCAGGUAUGAUGAAUGACUGGUUAUUAUUAUUUUUCUGUCAACCCGUCAGAUUUGUUGUGAGCUUCGAAACUCCAUUUUCUAUUAUUCAGAUCAGCAUGCUUUCUUCAUUGAAGUUGUUCCUCAUCGUCUCUUUCAUAACAUAUCAAAAAUUCAGAAUGAACUAAUGGUUAAAUAUUUCCAGAUCUUCGAAACAUCACAGCAGCUUCGAAAUCUGCAAGAAUCCGACUGUCAUGUUUGGAGCUUCAACACUUUAAUUUCCGUCGCUCAAACAGAAAUGGUUCCUUCUUGAAAGUUGUUCAUAUGCUCAAAAACUAUAGGGUGUCCAAAAUUCAGCUCCAUUGGAGAAGAGCAGAGGUUGCAGAAAUUUGAUAGAUGAAAGGAGGCGGAAGAGGGAGAGAGAGAAAAAGUCUCUUGGGUUGGAUUUCUAUUUUGGGGCAGAUUCCAAUUUUUGUAGCACCUUCAUUAUUGAUGAAUUGCUUGUACUUUUGUCCAUUAAGAAACCUGGGACUUUGGCUUGUUGUUGGAUCUAUUAUAAUAUGUUUGGGAACAUAUAUAAGUGAAUAAAUAAGAAGGAAGAUUUUGGGCCCUUGUGGGUGUAAAACAAAAAAUGUUUAUGUUUACCCAAGUGUUUUUGUACAAGUUCAAGGGCAUCUUGGGUUUUGUGAACAAAAUUUGUUUAUUUGGAGCAAGGUUUUGUGUUGAAGCUUUGUAGGUGAAGCUUUGGUGUUGAAGCUUUCUAGGUGAAGCUUUGAUGGUGAAGCUUUGUAGAUGAAGCUUUCUAGGUGAAGCUUUUUUAGGUGAAGCUUUGUAGGUGAAGCUUUUUUUAAGUGAAGCUUUUCGGGUGAAGUUUUUUGGGUGAAGCUUUGUGGGUGAAGCUUUUUAGGUGAAGCUUUGUGGGUGAAGCUUUUUUAGGUGAAGCUUUUUGGGUGAAGCUUUUUGGAGGUGAAGUUUUUUUUUUUUUUUGGGUGAAGCUUUUUUAGGUGAAGCUUUUUGGGUGAAACUUUUUGGAUGAAGCUUUUUGGGUGAAGUUUUGGAGGUGAAGCUUUUCGGGUGAAGCUUUUUGGAUGAAGCUGUUUUUUUUUUUUUUUUUUUUUUUUUGGCGCUUGACACGGUCUUCAUUUGCUUGUUUUGUAGUGACUGUGGAAGACGGAUUGCUUUCUGAUUGAGAAGGGUUCCGGCAUCGCUUUGCACCAUCUUCAUGUGGGUAAUAUAGGAACUUCCUUAUGUUUUGAUCAUGCAUGUAGUGAUAGAAUUUGUUUCUUCUUAUUGUAGAUGUCAGAGCCUGGAAGUUCUAGUGAUGAGGGCUCUUCUAGCUUUAGCUCUAAGUCUGAGUCUGCAAUGUCGGAGUCUUCAGGGUCUUUGUUAGAGUCCUGUACUAGAGAAACAUUGGAUGAUCUUCCCAACCGUCAAACUUUAGCUAUUGUUAGUUCUUCCUCCAUGGCGUUGGGUGAGGGGGUUGUUUUUGAUGCCAUACCCAUAGUUCGCUCUGAGUUCACAGCAGACCAUCUAAAGAAUAACUUGUUAGAUAAUGAGAAGCAGGUUGAGGCGCUAAGGCAGUCAUGUAAUAUCCCUCGUAGUGUAGGGAUACGUUUGGUACAUGAUGAAGAAUGGCCUUCUGAGCCUUCCCAGGGUCAUGUUAUGUUCUACACCCAGAUAUUACUGACUUUAGGGGUGAGACUACCUUUACAUCCGUGGUUGCAAAAGAUGUUUAUCUUUGAUCGGAUAUGCACCUGGGCAACUCAAUCCUGGUUUCUGGGAUACUUUGAUUGGAUUUUAUAUCAUUUGGAUGGAGUGUGGGUUGUGUGAGCCUUCCUUCCAUCAGUGGCGUUACUGUUACAAGAUGCGCCCAGCAAAAUCAUGCACUGGUUAUGCCGAGUGUGCAUGUCGGAGUGAGAGAGAGCGUAUUGUGUAUGGUAAGAAAAAGGCAUACUACACAUGGAAAAACCGUUGGUGCUUUCUGUAUAAUGAUUGGGAGUAUGAUAAGGGUGUCACGCCUGAGCGACGUGUGCUUACUCACUUCCAGACUGUAGGUUGUAACGUAUCAACCGUUCGUACUAUUUGCUAUUUGUUGUGGUCUUUUCUUGCUUCUAACACUUUGCUUCAUGUAGUGACGCGGGGCACCAUCAAACUGUUUGGGCAGGAGCUAUCUGACAUAGAGAAGGUGUUGAGGGUGCCCAAAGAGGAUAGACACUUAAGCAAGCUACGACCCUUAUUUCGUCGGUACGGUUUCCAACCCUUAGUUUCCGAGAGCCAGGGACGAUCGAGUAAGUUGUAUCCUUCAUGUAAACUUUGCUCUUUUCCUUACUUUAUUUGGAAAGUUGUAUUUCUUAUUUUGAUUUUCCUUAUGCAGUGGGAAGUGGCGAAGACCUCAGUGUUCUCUUUCAAAAAAGAUAUCAAUGCUAACCGAAGGGGUGGUGACAAUGUGGUGCCAAUAUUCACCAUGCGGUCUGGAUGAUCUCUUGAGAUAGGUACCUUCUCCAACUCUUCAGCAGGUUGGGCUUGCUGGGUGAAAGAGUCAUCUCGAGGAUCAUCGGGUUGAUUGUUGCUAUCAGGAAGAUCCAAGUUCGCUUCAUCUAGGCUGGUCUUUGUGACUUGGUCAUGUACAAACAGGGUUUCCUUGGGUCCGGGCAAGUGUUGUUGCUUAACUGAAGUGUUGUAACAUGAUCGUGCACUAAGCUGAUCUCCUCUGAUGUAGCCGUUGCCAUGGGGGGUUGGAAAUUUCAUCAACAGCAUAUGCGUGGAUACCAUAGCCUUGAGAUCAUUGAUGCCUGUGCGCCCAAAGAUGACAUUGUAUGCCGUUGGGCAGUCAACCACUAGGAAGUUAGUGGUAAUGGUAGCCGUGUAAGGGCCUGUACCAAUAGUAAAGGGUAAAUGUAUGCUCCCUAAGGGUUGCACGAUAUCAUCGGAGAAACUUAUCAGAGGAGAAAUCGAGCGAUCGAGCAAGUGUUCAGCUACACUGAGUGCCCUGAAAGCUUCGGCAAACAUGAUAUUGACCGAAGCCCCUGUGUCUACGAGGAUUCGUCGAACAUCAAAGUUGGCUAUGUGAGCCUCCACGAUCAAUGGGUCGUUAUGAGGGUAGAUAAUGCCUCUUUCUUCCUCAGGGUAGAAACAUAUCGGAUCCCAGUUAGGCUUUUGAUACUUCCCUCCCCUGAUGUCUUCCACGUGAAACACUCGGUGACCAGGCCUCAGAAUUCGUUCACUGUUUUUCAUGGCCCUAUUGGAAGAUUCAGAUAUGGGUGUGCCGCCGCUUAUGGAAUAUAUGACAUUCACCUGGCGUUGGUUACGGUUAUCCCUUUGAGGGUGAAGAAGGAAUUGAUCAAUUUUUCCUUCUCGUGUCAAAGCUUCAAUACAAUCACGGAGGAUGAUACAUUUCUCGCUAUCAUGGCCGUUAUGCUCAUGGUAGCAACAAAACAUGCCCGCGUUAUUCGGGGGCGUGUAAUCUGGGUGCCUCGGCUUUGGCUUUGGUAUCAGGUGAGCUAUGCUGGGGUAAAUGGCCGCGCAUGUGGCAUUCAAGGGCGUGUAUGUCUCAUACCUUGGGGUAGGGGGUAUCUUGACGCGGGUUUGACCCACUGCAUUGACUGCCUGGGGGCGAGCGUUAUUGUGGCGAUACCCUUGGUUAUCGGGAUAGUGUCCCUUACUCUUUUUACUGAAAGGAGAGUGGUGAGGAUGGAAAUCCUUCCUCUUGCCUUGAAAUUGAUAUGUCUGUUGAUUCGGUGAAGCAUUAUGCAAGGCAUGGGGAGGUGCCACUGCUGUUUGGAAAGUCGAGGUCUUCUCAUUUAGGUGAGUCUGGCUUCCACCUCCCACUUGUUGAUAAAGGAUGGUUGUAGGGGGUUUCUCCUGAUAUGUCUUUGCCUCGGCGGAGGCAUGGUUAUAAGCCUGCGCCAUCACCUCAGAGUAAGUCUUCCAAGUAUUGGCAUUGAUCAUGUAUUUAAAGAAACAAUCACGUAGGCCUGCCGUGAAGGCUUUGAGGGCAGUCUUGUCGUCUGCCUCGGCACACCGGGAGUAUUCAUGGCUGAAGCGGCCAGCAUACAUACGUAAUGACUCGUCUGGCUUCUGGCGGAUAGUGUACAAGUCAUCUGCAGAGUGCAAGCGAUCGGUUUGGAAAAUGUGUUGGGAAACAAAUAGUUUCCUCAAUUCCUCAAAUGAGUCUACCGUCUCAGGUGUAAGACGACAAUACCAAUUUAGAGCUCCACCAGAGAGGGUGGAGGGGAAGAGAAGACAUCGCUCUUCGUCGGUGUGCAUCCGGUAUGCCAUGGUGGACUCAAAGAGGUUAAGGUGCUCAAUCGGGUCCUCUUUUCCAGUAUAAAGUUGCAAGCCAAGCUUUUGCUUUAUCUUUGCUUGAAGGAGGGUGUUGAGGAUCCUCCUUGUAAGAGGGCCAGGCCUGGGUUGGUUCCAGUCAGGUAUUUCAGCCUGACGUUCAGCCUUCAACUUGUUUACUUCCUCAAGAAGUUGUAGGACAAGGGGGUCCUGAGCGAAGUUAUGUGCCACUGGAGCUUUCUUUCGUAAAUCUCCAUCUCCUCUUGGAAUUAGGAAGGUUUGAUCAAGGGCAUGUGAUUUUUCCCUGGACUCGUUGUACUGGCUUCCAGGAUAUGUCUGUCGGAACACCUCUGAGUCCCCUGUACCCUCAUGUCUCUCUAGGACUUGUUGCCCCUUCCCCAAAUUGGUGGCCGGCUCGGGCCGUGGUAGGGGACCGAGUCUCUCAGAAAUCCUUGGGUCAUUGAUCUUUGAGCUUAUAUGGAUGGAAUUCUCUCGACGUUGCUUCAGGAAAUCCCGACAAUCGCGAAAGACGGCUUUCGAUCCUUCUGCCCCUUCAGCAAAGAGGUGUCUCCCUCCACUUCUCAUGGUUCGGGUCGAAGCAACUGGGUUAAGAGAAGCCUCAUGUUGAUUAUCAAGUCGAGGGGUAAUCUGUUCCCUAUCAGGGAUAUCUAUGUCGAAUGCAUGUGACCCUCCAUGUUGGAGGGCACCCAGUUGAUGGUUGACUUCCACGGGGGCAACAAGCUCGCGUGUCUGAGCUUGCCUAGCUUCGUGGAGUGUCUCGAAGAGCUUCUCAUAUUGCUCCUGGAGGACCUCAUUCCUCAUUGCUAUCUUGUUGUUCUGAGCUUCCAACUCAUCGACUUUAGCUUGAAGAAGAACUCGUUUUCCUUCCUUCUUUCGUUGCUUCGCACUAUGUGCAAGGGGGGUGUCAUUCUGUGUGCUGUGGCUUCCUUCGCUUCCCAUGUUGGAGAGGGAUGCCUGGUCAAAAGAAAGUGUACGAAUGAAACCAGCUUGACACAGCUGAAGAGAGUAGGAAUAAGUGUCGUUUCCCACAGACGGCGCCAAAUGUUGAUGCACAAAAUCAGCGAAGACUUUGGUACAACAGAAAGUGUCAGGUUUUGUGACCUUCGCUUGGUUGCUUCGGUCACUAGUGAGGAUAAGUACGUAAAUGAAUAAACAGAGAAGCAAACACAGGAUGUACGUGGUUCACCCAGAUUGGCUACGUCCACGGAGUAGAGGAGUUCUUAUUAGUAGUGAAGGGCUUACACAAGUACAAAGGAUCAAGCUCUCAAUUUAGUGAGUUCUUGUGAAUGAUUUAACACAAAUGGCAUUAGCCAAUAUUGUGGGGGAAUGACCCCUAUUUAUAGAAAAACUUGUAGCUUUGUCACAUUGACAUGUGUCAUGUUAUGAUUGGUUCUUGAUGUCGACACGUGCUGCGCUCUGAUUGGCUUCUAAUCUUGACACGUGUCGAGUAGUGAUUGGCCUCCUGGUCGGAGGGGAACUCUUCUGGGUCCUUGACAGUAUAGCGUUGGCCGGUGUUCGGUAGUUUCGGGAUUGGUCAAGUAUGGUAUAAACAUAAUAUAAAUUUACUUUUUAUGUUUUCUAGGUUUUGUAUUCUUACAAGAAACAAAAAGGCAUGCAAGCUGACAUAUAUAAUAUAAAUUUACUUUUUAUUUUUCUAGGUUUUGUAUUCUUACCAAAAACAAAAAAGCAUGUUUGUUAAUUUGUGCUCUCAAUUUGUAUAAAACUAUGAAUUCAUCUUCUGAACUUUAAUUUUAACUGAUUACUCCUUUGAACUUUUAUAAUUAGCCAAUUUUCGCUUUGAACUUUAAUUUGAACCGAUUAUGUGUCGACCCGUCUCGAAUUAUUAUAUAUUUUUCUCCCCGAGUGUGUAAAGUGAGGGUAAUGCCCUCGUGGUUUAGUGACGUGGGUGUACAUAUGUAGUUUUAAAUAAUUAUUUCUACCGUCGUAGUUAAAUCGUACUCAACGUCGAGCGCGUUGACGUGAGUUAGGGUCGAAUCGGUUUUCUAACGGAAAAGUUAUGACAAUUAAAGAUCGAGAUUGGGUAGAAAUGUGUUUUUGGGUUGGCUAUACCUUACUCACCAAUCACCUUAGCUCCUACAAUCUUGAAUCCAAUCAAAAUUGGAUUGGUUUUAUUUAUUUUGGGCCACUUAACAUAACUCUCUCUCUUUCCCUUUCUCACCGCAGCCCAAUUAGGGCCUUGUUUCUUUUUCUUGGGGCCAAUCCGUGACUACACCCACACACACACACACGUACCAUACCUUCACCCUCUCAUUCUUUCUCGAUUCUUCCCCGUCUGUACAACCUGUAGACCACCCGCACAAAAACUCAUCAACACCUCACGGAUCAAGCACAAGGAUAACAUCCUCGUACUCCUCUCGACUUCACAAACCUAGAGGUGCCUUUUUCUCGAAGAAAGGACGUGUAGAACUUGAGAGACCCGAGCUCCAGCGAGGGGUCCAAUUUCCUUCGACGUGAUCGCAAGGGAUUUAGUUGGUUUUGAGAUUCAAGAAGGUACUCAUCUAACUUCCCUAGCAUUUUGGAACAAUUUUGGAGUGGUUUGAACGUUGGAUCACUCAGGGUCGUGAAGUUGCAGGUUUAGCCGGAGGUUUCGAAGGUUUUUCCGACCACUUUUUGUCGGUUUUAAGACCUCAAAUAGGUAAGAUUGUGUUCUUCUAGUUGAGAGCUUCAAUCCAAUUAAAAUUCGUGAAAUUUGGUUGAGAAAUGAAGUAGUUAUAAGUUUUAGAAAAUUUUCUAGAAGGAGGAGAAUAUUCUGUCAACUUUGAUGGAAUAUAUUGACGGCAUCAGGUAACUCCGUUAGUUUUUUAACGGAAUAUUCUACUAUUUAACGAAAUAUUCCCUAAUGCUAUUAGAGAUUUCGUCAGCGUGCCAAGAACGUGCCUGCGCGUGGCCAGCGCGUGAGAUGUCAGGAAAUUAAUCUAAAAAUAUGGGGGUGUUCGUGUUGUUAAGUAGAUCACGUUGGUAUAUUCAAACACCUCAUUUGAGCAACAUAUGAGAAGUUAUUCCUAAGGUUUGUGUAUAUGCUUUAAAAUUAAUGUAAAAUUAGUUAUUUCGCAUAUAGGUGAGAUGUACCCUAAGGACAAGAGUGGUCAGGCGAGACUUGGGGGCUACGAUCCUGCUACUUACCAGUGAGUCUAUAUAUGUAUAUAUGCUUAUGAUUCCUAGAAUUUUUUUUAAAUGAACGUAUGUUUUAAAUGCCAUGUCAUGUGUGCAUUAUGUGUUAGUAUUGCAUUAGUAUAGCUAUGCAUAGUAUUGGAUGAGAUUGCGGAGGCUCAGGUAAGGUUUUGGUGAGUACAUCAUGAUGGUAUUGAUUGCGUUGUGUGUGGUUAUACGUUGAUGCAUUUUGAACUCAUUAUCCUGCACCCCUAUUUUAGUGCUCCCGCCUGUGGCCAGGGCACAACCAUUCACGUGAUGUUCACCUUUUCCACUACACGCUCACCUUGGAUCCAAGUUUGGUGCACAACCUUGUCGUACAGGCCACAAUAAGUGGUUCCGACUCGUAGGUGACCCACGAUUAUUUGCACAGCUUUCACGUGAUCAUAGCACUUGAGUGUAUUUAUCUACAUCUAGUCCUGUCGUACAUACCACAAUAAGUGGUUUCAACUCAUGUGCAGGCAUACUUGAUGAGCUAUAGAUUUAGUCGUAUAGGUCACAUUAGGUGACUCUGGCUGACAUACUAUUUUACAUUGAUUAGUAUCACCGGGCUUACACAUUUUAUGGUUGAAUAUCUUGACAUGGCAUACCUCUGUUUUCACUGCUUCUAAGCAUUAUCUUUAUGUACUUACGUGUUAUUAUUUUUUGGGAAAUUACGCUGGUUUUACAGUGAAGGGUUAGUACGUUCAUAAAGACAACUGUGUUUUCAAAAGCUUUGUUUUUUCCCACUCACGUUUUCUGUUUUACGUCCCUCCAGGUUCUAAGUAGCUUAUCAUCUUUGGUGGCUCACGAGGAUUCUCCUGGCAGUUUUGACAUCUUCAUAAAUAAGUAGGGAUCUUUUCCCUAUUUGUAUAAUUAGUACUUGGUUUGACUGCACUUUCGUUUACCUAUACUCUGAUAUUUUUAUAACUUGGUCACCUUCACUCACUUAUAUUAUCUUAGUUUAGAUAAGUUUGGUUUUAGUUUUUAUUUAUUCACAUUUUGGCUAUGUCACCCUCAUGUGAUGACCAGCACAUCUCGACCUCGGUCGGGGUAUGUCAGAUUACCCCGUUAACUUUUAUAAAUAGCCAACUUACCCCUUGGCGUUGGAUUUUGAAAAAUUUCAUCCAAUUUUCCAUUCAUCUUGAUCACGGAAACAACACAUGACAACUGUAUGAGGGCAAAAAGGAUGAAAAAAUUGGAUGGAUGAAAAAUUGAAUGAAAAUUUUUAAAAUCUAAUGUCAAGGGGAAUUGGCUAUUUACAAACGUUCAGGGGUAAUCAACUAAAAUUAAAGUUCAAGGGAAAUUUUGGCUAAUUAUAAAAGUUCAUAGGAUAAUCGGCUAAAUUAAAGUUCAGGGGAAAAUUGGCAGCUCCAUACAAGUUCAAGGGACAAAUCAACAAAUACAUCAAAAAAAAAAAUUGCGUGGAAUGAACUAAUUGCAGGCAUCCUGCACUUGAUGGAGAAAGCUUUGUUGAGUGAGUGAAAGAAAGAUGGAAUCUUUUAGGGCUGGUUCGAUAUGGGAUACCAAAUCAAAACUAGUAUCUAGAAUCCCAAAACCGAAAUUUUUUGGGAUGGGAAUUUGAAAACCAAUCCCAAACCAAAUUUUUGUAAAUCCCAAAUUUCGGGAAUUCGGGACAAAUUCGGAUUAAAUUUCAUAAACCCUAACCUAAUGGUAAACAUAAAUAUAGAAAUUAAAUUAGGGCUGGAAUCUUGAACAUCCAAUCAAAACAUGAACAAAUUUCACAAAUCCUAAUCUAGAAUUCGAACCCUAAAUUAAAUUUCAAACCCUAAAUUAAUUCCAACAUUUACCUGAUUUGGGGGAGAAUCAGUGCAUAGUACACUGGAUGAAGAAGACCCUUAGACUUUGAGUGUCUGAGAGAAAGAAUCGCGUGAGAGAGAAUUGCGAGAGAGAGUGGUGGCUUUGUGUGGUGAAUGAAGGUUCCACAGUCGAAGACGGUAGUGAUAGUAUGGUGUGGUGGUGGGCCGAUGACUGACCGAAGUUAAGCUUGAAAUUCGAGACAUAUAGGAGAUGGCUUGGUGGCUAAGGGAGGGAGGUUGGCUUCAAUUAAAAUGAAAGUUAUGAACGAACGAUGUAGAGAGAAGGCUGGAGAUUGGCACAGAUCAAUUUGAAACAAUCCAAUAAUUGAAAUUAACUCUAACUAUAAUUUAAAAAAAAUAUAUAUAAUAUAUAUGUAUAAAUAUAUAUAUAAUAAUUAAUAAUAUAUAUUUUCGGUUCGGCAUGAGAUUCCCGAAAUAUUAAGAAGACAAUCCCAAAUCCCGUACCGAAAUUUCAGGAUCGAUUCGGGAUAGCAUCCCAAAAAUUUCGAGAAUUUCAGUUUGGGACAUUUUUGGUUUGGGAUCGGAAUUUUUUUGGUUCGGUUCGGGAAUUUUGGGAAUUUUUACCUCUAGAAUAUUUGGUGUACGUUUAUGCUGUUGUUUUCUUGGUGCCACUUUCAAUUAAAAGUCUUCAAUGAGUGCUGAUUUGCUACUUCUCUGUUCCAACCGAGUGUUUAGAUCAUCAUGCAUUUACGGUAAAAAAGUUAUGAAAUUUUGCAUAAGCAUAUAAAAAUUAGUACCGAUUGGAUUCACGGUGAAAUCUAACUUUAUUCUUCAUGGUAUUAGAUGAUAGAAACUCUCGAGUCCAAGUCACAUAAUAUAUUUUGUUCUCGUAUUUAUUCACCUCACCGGUCGCACUUGGUGCGAUGGCAAGUGCCUUCGCCCAUAAGCGGUAGGUCUCGGGUUCGAGACUUGGGAGCAGCCUCUCCAUAAAUGGGGGUAAGGCUAGCCGGCAUUCACCUCUCCCAGACCCUGCGUAAAGCGGGAGCCUUGUGCACUGGGUACGACCUUUUUAUUUAUUUAUUCACCUCACCGAGUUGGGGUACAUCUUUAUCAAUUUAUCAAUCGGAUUUGAACGGUCAUGAUCUUCUGAUUAAUGGAGUCGAUUAAGAGGAGGAGUGUAUCCAAUCAGCUCCGAUGUUUCUUGUUUUUUUUUUUCUUUCUUGUUUUUGGACAAGCAAUGUUUCUUGUUGAUGAGCCUUACCUUUGCGGCUUUCCCUUGGACACAUGGUUUAAUAGUGUUUUUUUUUUUUUGAGUACAUCGAUAGUGUUACUCUAAGGGAAGGGAAAGUUCGGCUAAGUCAUACAAUAGGCAGCCUAAUUUGGUAUCGAAUUCGCCAUCCACGAGAUUCAAACCUAAGACCUCUCACUUUCAAGUAAAUAAAAAUACCAUCAUAUCGUAGAAUGAUCAUGGUUUAAUAGUGUUAGAUAAGCAAUCACACUAGGGAGAUCGUAUAUUUAAAUAAUAUUUUAUAAUUAUAUGACACAAUUGUUAAUAAUUCGAUUAUUAUUUAAGUAUUGAUUAACAUGCUUAUUUUUUAUUAGUGAGACUCAUCACAUGAUUUGCAAAUUUGGUCUAAGAAGUUGGUCUACCUAUCAUUAUUCAUAUAUAUUAUAUUAUAAUCGACCAAUCUACGUCUCCGUUUUGUUGAAUAAUGUAAAAAAGUCUAUCAUCAGCCAUAUUACGAAAUAAUUACAACUUAACUUAAGUGGCGUUUAAUUUCAUCGAGUCCUCAUGUGUAAAACUACAACUUAGCUUGGGUGGGUGCAUUUAUACAAUUGGGAGAGAGACCUUUUUAGGAUAGAAUCCUUGUUCUAAGCUGGGAGAAUUCUAGAGAAUAUCUAGUAAGUAGAUAUUGUAUCCUCUUAGGAGUUGUGAUUACUUGCAGCGCAUGCCUAUCCCUAGAUUGUAGGGACUCCGAGACUUAUAGGACCUGAUUUUGUCCACAUCCGGAUCAUAUCAGAUAGAAGUAGUUGUACUCGGGGUCGGAGUUCGGAGCCACCCUCGAAUGAGUUCCAGAUCAUAAAGCCCAUGUUUGAAUGUCAUAACCCACAACCUUGUUGGUUGUGUAAACUUUCUGGAGGCUAGAUGGUGCAAUGGACUUUCGGGUCAAGGCGCCAUGUGCCCGGCCCGUAGUCCGCCGAUCGUUACCACGCUUAUUACGGUUCGAGUCUCCUAAGCUGUUAACCGUCCUAGACCGAUUGGGCUAAAGAAGCCCAUCUGACAGUGUAACUUUGAACUUUUUUAGACUUGUAUUCAUGUGAAGUUUUCAAAGUUUGGACCUGUUUUUGAACGGGUAGGGUAUUCCUUGCGUUACCAAAAAAAAUGAAGAAAGAACACGUAUUUAUGACAAAUAGAUGCUCUUUAUCCAUGAUCAAAGUAAAAUUGGUUGACAAAGGGUUGGGAUUGAAUCCGAAAAGGAUUGCUUACAUAUCUCUUGGAUGGAGAAUUAAAUCACUGGUGUAGUUCUAAGGAAAAUAUGAUAUGAUGCAAAACAUUACAUCAAGGGAUCACAUUUGACGAUAAGCCUAUGGUGGGGCAUUGGGAGGUGUGUUCUCCAUGGACUUGUCUUCGCGCAGACAGCGGCGUUGCGAUUGGGUCCGGAAAUAACUGAUUACAUAUCACGGGAAGGGAGUUAAACCGUGUGUAGUUCAUGUUGUGCUUUACUUCAUUUUAAGCCACUUGGAAAGGCCUCCAAGGUUUUAUUUUUUCUGGCAAGGGGUCUUUCUCUCAGCAUAGGCUAUUCAGUUUCUUUGCUGUUGGUUCUUUCGCUGCUUAGCGCUACUCUCGAGUAGCGAGGCGGGAUUCUGUCUUGAAAUUGAACCUUUUUCAUGGCAUGCAGCCAUUCCUGGCUGAGGAUAAUGUUGUAAGGAGAUGGGCUAUGCAUCAUAUGGAAGGUCAUCAAAUGUUCAGAUGGUUUUCUUCGAACUAAGAGACUUAUUGUUUCCAUGGUGCUGAGCGGGGUUCCAUUAAGAGUUUGGACAGUAAACCUCCUUGAGUUAACUUUAUCUAGGAUAUCCAUCCUUGUAGUUUCUCCCCUAAAGAGGAUAUUGACUUCCGACCUGUUAUCAAUCAGGACUCUGUCGGCCAUGGUGUUUGAUAGGAUUUUUACCACCUGCACAAAAAGGGUUAAAAACACCUAAAAUAUUUGCAAGCGAAACAAGGUUAUUGUAGUGUAGUUGGCCCAAGUAAGGUCGUUCUCAACAGGAUUAAUUUAAAUAGAUUAACGUGACAUCAAUUCCCAACUAAUUAAUUAGAACAAAGAUUUGGAGAAGGGUGAUUUAAUGACCUAAAUUAAGAAAAACGAAUUAAUUAAAAAGGUUAAUUAAAAUCUGCAAUUUUAAAGAAGGUAAAAGGAAACAAUUUUUAGAAUUCAAGUUGAGAAAGUACUAGGGUUCUGCCGUUACCCUAAUAAUCCUAUGUAGCUCUUCUAAUUACUUAUGAAUUACAUAUGCAUAUUUUGAAGCUUAGGUUUUCCUAAAAUAUAUCCUACUUGGAACCUCCAACAUUGAACAUAUAUCUAACAUGCAACCCGUCCGUAGUGUCCAGAUCGAAUGUGAACAUGCAAGACUCAUUAAAUUUUGUGAAAACCUUUUGAAAAACCAUAUAACCCUUAAGACGUGUCGUCCAUCCUAAGAAGUUACAAAUAUUAAUCACAAGAAGCCUUAGUCAAUUUUAAGGAUAGCCCUCCGCCAAAAUUGCAUCAAAUUAAUUUUCUAAGUAUCCUAAUGGUCGCGAAUCACUAAGACAAAUAGAUAGUUUAAACUGGUGAUUAGCAAUUCAAAACUUGCAUGCAUAAAUUCAUAAGCAAAUUAAAAAGAGACUAGAUAUUCUUGCUAAAGAUCAUGGCCUCACCCUAGCAAAGAGAAUUAGUUACGCAUAUUCAUAAUAGAAAUCACAAAGUCUUUAUUGAAUAAUAAAAAAAUGAAAACACCUUGAAAGUAUAAGUCUUGAAAUCUCUAAGCUUUGCCCCAAAUUAGAUCCGGAAGUUUCUGACACGACACAAAAACAACACGAAAAUAACAAAUUUCGGGUCAACACGAUAACUUAUCAGGUCAUUAUCGGGUGACCCGCUAAGAACCCGUUAAUAACUGGUUCUUAACGGGUAUACACACGGGUAACACGUGGGUAACCCGUUUUGACCCGUUAUGAAAAAAUUUAUUUUGAUAAUUUUAAAGUUUAAUUACUAAAAGAUUUAUUAUAAAAUACAAUAGCCAUAUUAAUAUAUACAAUAUAUUCUAUAUUAAAUAUAUAGUUUCGUAUUAUUAUUCUAUAUAAGUUUUUUUUUUUUUUAAAUUAGUCAUUAUUUAUUUUUAUUAUGAGAGUUCCUUAUUAUCAUUAGUAGGUUAAAUUUUACUUAACAUGUUGUUAUCCAAAAUUAAAAUAAACUAAUAUAGUAUUUGUAUAUGCAAGAACUAAGAAGACAUACAUACAAGUAUGAAAAAUGUGAGAUAAUAUAUAAACACUCGUGAUUCAUCAUUAUUCCUCCACGAGUAGAUAAUGGUUACACUUACAUUAUCGUUUAGAUUUUUAAAAUCCUCCAAACCUUCAUGAAUAAUGUUUUUUAUUUGAGGGAAAAAUUAAUAAAAUUAAUAAUAAUUAUUGUAGAAGUGUAAAAAAAAAUAUACAAUCACUUAUAGUGACAAACUUUACAACUUUCAUGAAUGGGUCAGCUUCGAAAUCCAACACUAUAAUUCAUAAACCUUAAAUUUAUAUUUAACCGUUGAUUGCCAUUUACGUUUAUUCUUCUUACUGAAUUUCAUUUUUUAAAUGUUCUUUUUUGAAAACAUGAUCAUCUGGCAGAUGUAAGAAGAUGAACGGUUCAGAUAUUUGAUAUCACAUUUUGAUAUUUACAGUUAACUGAAAUAUGAGUCGAUGUCAUAUAGUUUGUAGAAACUUUAUAAACAUCAAGCAAUAUUUUCACUAAUUGUAAAACUCUAAAUAUAAUAUCAACGAUCCAAACCGUUCAUCUUCCUGCAUCCUCUAAUAGAUCAAGUUUUCAAAAAACAAAAUCUGAAAAAACAAAAUUUGAUGAGAACAAUGAAGCGUAAAUGUAAACAACAAUCAACGGUUAAAUUUUGAUCUAUGAUUUAUAUGAUUAUAAUGGCGAAUUUCGAAGUUAAGCUCUUCAUGAAAGUUGUAAAGCUUGUCAUUAAGAGGGUUUAUAUAUUUUUUCUAUAUUUUUUUACACUUCUACAUUAAUUAAAAAGUUGUUAAAAACUUUAGGUAAGUGAAAAUAUACUUAAAAGAAAAAUACGUUUUUAUGUUUUGGAUGUGAUAAUAUGAUAUGUAUAUACUUAUUUAGUAUUAUGUUUUUCAUUUGAUUAUUUAUUGGUUUAAAAUAUAUUUUCCUUAACGGGUAACGGAUCGGGUCAUAUUACCUAUUAAUAUUAUCGGGUCGAUUUCGGGUCGGGUCAUUUUACCCGUUUAUUUUAACAGGUGUUACACGAAACGACCCGUUAAGAUAUCGGGUAUGACACGAAAAUGACACGAACACGGAAAACACAACAUGAAUGCCAGGUCUACCCCAAAUCUUCUCUCCAAAAAUUGCAUAAGAAGAAAAACCCUAGGGCUAGCCAAAAAGGCUUAUUUAUACUACUGUAAUUCAAUCCUCCUAGUAAAAGGUCUUAGAAUAAGACUAGGAAACUAAAUAAAUUGAAAUAAAUUAGGAAACAUAAUCAUAAAUUAACUUGGAAAUUCGCCCAAAAUCAUUCACAACCACAUUUUGGACCCAUAUCAACUCCAAAACUGGCCCAAAAAGCUGGAUUUAAAGCUUGGACGAACACUUCUCCAGAAGACCACAAACCCAUCUGAGAUCAUCUUAGGCUCCAAAAACUGCACUAAAGCCCAAAAACGUCACUUUCCAACAACGCGCACUGCUUCUUUAUUUAAUUGCCAGAAAAUAACCGCUUGGUAGAAGCUACUGAAAUUUUGACACGAACACUCCAAGAGACACACGAACGUCCUCUAGUUUGAAUCACUCCAAAAUUCAUCCGUUUAAUCAUGUUUUGCUCCAAAGGAUGUCGAAUGUCCUAUGUUGAAAAUAUAAAGCACAGUAUCAAAAUUGCAUCAAAAUAAUUACCAAAAUAUACCAAGAAUGAGGUAAAAUAUAUAAUAUGAAAUCAACUCAUCAGUGUUUGAGAUUUGCAGUCUGACGACGAAGGUGCCAUUAGAUAGUGGAUAAAUAGUUUUUGGCCUGAUGGAGGGAUAUUUUACCCGAGGUUUUCCCAGGAUCAUCUUCCUCCCCCUCUGUGCUUUGUUGAAGUAAUCCUAUCUUCUUAUUAUGCAAUUGAUACUCAGAAGAAACUUCUUGUCUACGUUGAGGAGGUGGUGGUCUCGAAAUUUCUUGUAGUUAUGCUAGAUAUGUUGCUGGGACUAGUUCUUAGAUCAAUUGUUUCGGGCGUGGAUUUGUUGUUCUUAGGGAAGCACAAGAUGUGAAACUUGCAAAUUGGGUGAGAGUGUCUUCUAUAGUUUUCAUUCUUUUAGUCAACUUGGCGAGCCUCGCCUUUUCUUUGAUAUGUAAGUUCUUCUUGAGGUCUUUUACUGACGUGCGUAUCUUCAGUAUGUCGUCCCAGACCUAAUAAGUGAAAGAGGCUUCUUCUCCAUUUGGGUCCAUGGCUUGACCACAGAGCGAUCUUCUAGGCAUUGCUUCCAUAGGGUAGAGUAAUCUGGUCGAAAGGAAUAUGAGUUCUCUCUCAAUGAAAGCACCCAUUGUUGGAACCAAAUUCGCGCACCUAUGUGAGCGGUGGUUGAGCACAAACUCGAGUAAUCUGCAAAAUAGUAAACAACCAUGAGCAAGGCUACGACUAAGGGAGGGAUGUGUUGGCCAAAAGUUCUCCAACGGUCAGGUUAGCAAAUGAUUUUAGACUCAAGCAAUAGGUAAGAGAAUUGAAGAGUAUAGAUUGCGUUACAGUAGAUGAAACUUAGGUGGGUGUGUUUAUACCGUGGAGAGAAAGACCUUUUUAGGAUAGAAUCUAGUUAUAUGCCAGAAGAAUCCUAGAGGAUAUCUAGUAAGUAGAUAUUGCAUCGUCUUAAGAGUUGUGAUUACUUGCGGCGCAUGCCUAUCCCUAGAUUGUAGGGGCUCCAAGACUUAUAGGAUCUGAUUGUGUCCACAUUUGGAUCAGAUUGCGUGUCUUAUAGAACAAUCAUGGUCAUCUAGCGGAGUCGUUUGGACUCCGCCUAGUGCUCCAGAGUAGAGUGAUGGUGACACAAUACUCCAUUUGAUACAACUCUGCCCGAAGCUGGUAAUAAGUUCAUGACCAAACUUUUGAAGUAACAUCAUUCAGAUCGGAUUUAUUCCGACCCCAGAAAAUCAUGGUCCCCGCGUACCUAUUUCUCAAAUGAGCAUCAGGUUGUCAGUUUUUCCUUUAAGCUCAAUUUCUGAUUUUUCUUAUUUCCUCUUUUUGUAUCAAUGUUGAAGUAUCUUUGUAAGUUUCUUAGCCUGCAAGAAUUGGUAGGUAGUAUCUAAAUUCCUAUGUAUGAGUAAAAUAUUAUGACUUUAAGUUUUCUAUAUAAACAUAAAAUUUAAUUAUUUAUAUCUUAGGUAUACAAAAUUACAUGAUGAAUUGAGAGAGUAUUGAUGAAAAAAAAUUAAAAUUGCAAAGUGGCAUUCCACCUAAGAUUUUGACAUCUCAUUUGGAGAUGCUCUUAUACGUCUAGCCAUCUCAACAUUAUGUAUAUACCUUGCGAUAAAAUAGGGACCUUGAUCUAUUAUUUCGAUCAUAGUAAACACGAAAAACCUGAAAGUCAUUAUCAUUUACAUGUGUAUACAUAGGUAUACAUACAUACAUAUAUAUAUAUAUGUAUAUAUAUAUAUAUAUAUAUAUUAUAAAGUUCACACUUGGAUGGUUUAUAAACCUUGAACAUUAUUUUUCAAUGCAUAGAAGAAUUUACUCAGGUUGUUCUGGGAACUGCAAUCAUAGGGAGACUGCCAUCUAUGUGAAGGGUGAACAUGGUCCUAUAGGUUACCGGCUUUGUUUCAUCGGCCAAUUUGAAGCGAAAGAAGCUAAGGAGAGCCAUCGCUACUAUCUUCAUUUGCCGAUACGCAAAGUCCUUCCCUAGACAGAUGCGCGGACCCGCCUGCAAAUAGCACAAGUGAAAAUGAUACUAUUAUUAGUGAAUAUUUGGAUAAUUACAAAAUAUAUAUUUGUGAUAAAGGAAAAAGAAAAUAUUUUUACUAACGUGAAAUGCGACGAAUUUGAAGGGUGAUUCGGGCUGGAAAAUUCCAUUUUCGAGCCAUCUUUCUGGUCGGAAAUCAUUGGCAUCGUUUCCCCAGAUAUAAGGCAUUCUUCCCAUGGCAUAGGUGAUGUAGUUUACGUUGUCUCCUUUUCUCACUCUAAAGCCAUCUGGAAGAAUGUCAUCUACAUCAGCACAUCUCCCAUCCUUGGACAAAACCAAGACAUAAAGAUGUCAAUAUUUACAGUAAUAUGAAAAGUUCUUCCGACUUGACAGUUGAAGUUCACUACCUAUUUUUCCCUUAGUAAUAUAAAAAGGGUUAUAAAUUUCCUAAAGAUACUUGGCACCUCAUGUGUAAGGACUCUUUCAUCUAUGCAGAUCAAUUAUAGUUAGACACGUGCCAUAAACUUUUCCUGUUGCAUUUUUAAAAGUUAUUUAUGCACAUGUACCAGUCUGGACUGUAAUUUGCAAGAGUAAGCAGGAAUAACUCCCUAGUCGUUAGGCGUCAAACAGUGUUCUAAGUUUCCUUGUGGAGUAGUGGCUUUCUUGUAUUGAUUUUGAUAUGUUUAACAGAUUUUAAUCAAGGUUCCGGCACUGUCCUGUUUAAAUUCCUACAAACUACUAUAGAAAGUAAAGAAAAUAACAAGUAUCUUAUUCAAAAAAUAUUAUGACGAAAAUUAAAACCGGGUUAUUUGAGUAUACUUACGAUUGGAACCGCAGGGUAUAGCCGUAAGGUCUCUGUCAGCGCCGCGUGAAGAUAAUGCAUUCGUUCUAGAGUUUCUUCAAUUAUGUUUUCCAUGAAUUCAUCAACUUUCGCUUCGCCUACCUGAUUACCAACGACAUCCCUCACUUC